UACGGGGGGGGCAAGCGUUGUUCGGAAUUACUGGGCGUAAAGGGCUCGUAGGUGGCCAACUAAGUCAGACGUGAAAUCCCUCAGCUUAACUGGGGAACUGCGUCUGAUACUGGAUGGCUUGAGUUUGGGAGAGGGAUGCGGAAUUCCAGGUGUAGCGGUGAAAUGCGUAGAUAUCAGGAGGAACACCGGUGGCGAAGGCGGUUCUCUGGGCAUUACCUGACGCUGAGGAGCGAAAGUGUGGGGAGCGAACAGG
rnacentral:rRNA from 1 species